UACGUAGGGUGCAGGCGUUAAUCGGAAUUACUGGGCGUAAAGCGUGCGCAGGCGGUUUGUUAAGACAGAUGUGAAGUCCCCGGGCUUAACCUGGGAACUGCGUUUGUAACUGGCAAGCUAGAGUGUGGCAGAGGGGGGUGGAAUUCCAAGUGUAGCAGUGAAAUGCGUAGAUAUUUGGAGGAACACCAAUGGCGAAGGCAGCCCCCUGGGUUAACACUGACGCUCAUGCACGAAAGCGUGGGGAGCAAACAGG
rnacentral:rRNA from 1 species